CCCUAUCCUCCAGCACUUCUUUUCUUUCAUCUCUAGUUGAAAUGUGUUAUACGUACGAUAAUUCCGGGGGAGAUGGACGACGAAAACGUUUCGAAUUUAAAUAUUUUGCGAAUAUGUUAGUAACUUAUAUAGUAAUUACCGACAAUCUUUUUUAACAUAUGUAAUUUAUUAUAACGCAAUAUAUAUCUUUGGAAGCAAUGAAAAGUAUAACAAUAAUUUUCGGUGAAUCUAGAAUCUAGAGAUUCGGGAACGACCGUUCUAAGAAUUUUAAAGUUUUUGAAUUUUUCAUUUUUGAAGACGAGAGAUUAUUGCUGGACGUCGACCGUCUGGACCAUUUACAUUUUUACAUAUUAACCAAGGUUGAUCAUGGUUCAGGAUAAAAUGUUUGUGAGAUAUAUGAUUGGCGAAACGAUCGAAAGAAAAGCAGAGACCUGUCGAGGUCCAAUUAUUCGCGAGAUUCGGUUACGAGAAGUAACGUCACGCGUCAAGUCAGGAUGGGAGAGCAGCACGAGGGGACCUAGGAGCGUCGACACCAUGGAGGAGAGGGAGGAUGUAAGGUGACACCUCUGGGACAGGUCUGGCUUCCCGUCAAGAGCCCGUCCGAGAUAAUCAUAUUCAUAAUUCGCGAGUUCGCGGAACGUGCACCCGCGUCGUGCAAGAAAAGGACAUUGUGGCGAAAGGAUUUGAAAAAAAUUAUAUAAAUGAAUAAUUGUUUCAUUGGAUGAAAUGAAAAAUUGAAAACGAAUGAGAAUAAAACAAAUCCAUAUCACAAGACAAAUAAUUAAACAUAUAUACAAAUAAUCAAUUUCUAAAAAUUAAGAACAAAACAAAAGUUAAUCUAUUUUCUAAAAUAAGAGCAAAGAUAUAAAUAGAGAGAGAUUAGAAAGAGACACGCGUGACUGUGAUCCUCCGUACACGCAGUUAUGGGCACGCUUAAAGGUCCCGACUGCGUGUGGGUCCGCGGAUACGAGGACGUGUGGAUGUCCAGGCGGGGCCCUGGCCCUGCUUGUAACCCGACACCAAAAGCUUUGGCUCCCCUCUCUGCGCCAACAUCCAGCGCACAGAGUGAGACACAGACAAGACCCCCGAGAACGAAAAGGACUGGUUGAUAGUCGGAAUUAAGCGAUCUGACAAAUUGUCGGGCAAAGGGUAAAGACGAUCGGCUCGAAACGCGAAUCAAGAUAACCAACACACGCGCACGCCAAUCCCACCUUUGGAACUACACGACAUCAGGGUUCACCACUUCAAACUUGCCCACCUACGAUUUUCCAGAAAGAUUCCCGUUGAAUCUUGGAUAUUCUAUGAAGUCGCGGUUGGUUACAAAAAAAGGGGGUGGUCGCGAUUUAUCUCGACCUCGAGGUCCGCUCGAGCUCUGCAUCGCGGUUAAAACGUCGGGGACGGAAUUUAAAUUUCACAAAUUAGUCCGUCCAUUACACCCUCGGUGUAAUCAGGUCGGAUGAUCUCGAACACUCGCCCCACCAAGUUAGAGGUUUCGCUCUUCCACCUCCUUUGCCUCAUUCCUCAGCAUCCUCUCUGCCUCCGAGAGAAGCCUCGUCCACACGAGGUGAACGCAGUUCCUGGAAAGCGUGGGUGCCUCUUCCAGGCAAACAGGAUCAGGAUCUGGGCCCUCACAAAUCAUAACGCGGAUGCACCAGAGAUCCCGCAUGGAGAUCCCUUACUGCUCUUCUUCUUUCUUCUCGCGCGUAUUCUCUUAUUCCGAAUAUUUGCGCUCCCGAAAAGAAGUUUCGAAUGAUGAUCAAUUGCCAAAAGAUAUGGUUUUCUAUCGAUUUUCGAUAAAACUUUGCUCGAGUUUCUUGUUUCAGGAAAUAUCUUUUGUAGGUUUUAAUGGAAAUUUAUGUUCAAUUAAAAGUUGAUUAGAAGUUGAUUUUAUCGAUUUUCGAUAAAACUUUGCUUGAGUUUGCUGUUCUAGGAAAUAUCUUUUAUAGGUUUUACUGGAAAUUUGUAUUUGUAUAUAAUUAGAAGUUGA
rnacentral:lncRNA from 1 species